ACGAACGCUGGCGGCGUGCUUAACACCUGCAAGUCGAACGGGCCUUGUCCCCUUUUUUUUUGGGGGUGGGGUUAGUGGCGAACGGGUGAGUAACACGUGAGUAACCUGCCCCUCACUUCUGGAUAACCGCUUGAAAGGGUGGCUAAUACGGGGUGUUCUGGCCUGCUCGCAUGGGUGGGUUUGGAAAGAUUCGACCGGUUUGGUUGUUUUGGUGGGGGAUGGGCUCGCGGCCUAUCAGCUUGUUGGUGGGGUGAUGGCCUGCCAAGGCUUUGACGGGUAGCCGGCCUGAGAGGGUGGGCGGUCACACUGGGACUGAGACACGGCCCAGACUCCUACGGGAGGCAGCAGUGGGGAAUAUUGCACAAUGGGCGCAAGCCUGAUGCAGCGACGCCGCGUGAGGGAUGGAGGCCUUCGGGUUGUGAACCUCUUUCGCCAGUGAAGAAGGUCCUGCUCUUUGUGGUGGGGUUGACGGUAGCGGGGUUAAUGAAGCGCCGGCUAACUACGUG
rnacentral:rRNA from 1 species